AUUGAACGCUGGCGGCAGGCCUAACACAUGCAAGUCGAGCGGAGCGGCGGACGGGUGAGUAAUGGCUAGGAAUCUGCCUGGUAGUGGGGGAUAACGUCCGGGAACGGGCGCUCAUACCGCCUACUAUCAGAUGUGCCCAGAGGGGAUUAGCUAGUUGGUGGGGUAACGGCUCACCAAGGCGACGAUCCCUAGCUGGUCUGAGAGGCUGAUCAGCCACACUGGAACUGAGACACGGUCCAGACGCCUACGGGAGGCAGCAGUGGGGAAUAUUGGGCAAUGGGCGAAAGCCUGAUGCAGCAACGCCGCGUGUAUGAAGAAGGCCUUCGGAUUGUAAAGCACUUUCAGCGGGGAGGCGGUACCCGCAGAAGAAGCACCGGCUAACUCCGUGCCAGCAGCCGCGGUAAUAC
rnacentral:rRNA from 1 species